rnacentral:lncRNA from 1 species
UUUUUCAGAGGAGAGGCUCAUAGAGUGUUUGCAAAAGGACGAAAUGAAAGCUCUUUGCAUUUCUGUUAUAUUACUAAAGGACAUAUAUAGCCUCCGUUCUUGAAGGCUGAGAUUUUGCAAUUCAACUAUUAUUUCUCAGAAGUAACGCAAUUAGUGUCCACAUCCUCCAAUCGAUCUUUAUAUGUUCUAGAAAAUGUAUUAAUUAAAGAUUUUAUUUCAUCCAUCAAAGUUUUAUUUUGUCGCACAAUCCACGAAAUUAGUAAAUGAUUGAUAUAGCUGCUUUAUCGCUUCGCCACAGCUUGAAAUUGCACAGAAAGAAAAAACCAUUCACAAACAGCAUUGUCAAAUCAAACCACAAAACAACGACAUUUACGCUUAAAAAUCUGAAAUUCAUUAUAAGUCUGAAAGACCGAUCAUGAGAGCUUCUGCAAUUAGGAAUUUUAGAUCAAGUUUCUGUCAAAUAGCGACAAGCGUGGCUCGUGGAUCAUCCUUGUACCGAUAUUGUCCCAAAUUAACCACCUUUUAAGGUGUUGGGUUUUAAUCACAAAAGACCUCGGUACAAUUAGGAAUGAUCCACCCACUUAUAAGUUAUAUUUUAUUUGUCACUUUUCCAAUGUGGGAUCUCUCCUCUCCAACACUCCCCCUCACGUGCAACCUAACUUUUAGGUCUGCACGUGAAACUGAUUAACAAACUAAACCCGGGCCCCAUGAUAACCGAAAGAACCCCAAACUCCCAGACUUCCAGUGACAACUGAAAGAACCAAACCAGGCUGAAUUAACUCCAAACUCGAAAGAACCAAACCAGGGCCAUGACCCCUGAAAGAACCAACCCGGGCUUAUGGAGACGCAACUGGAGAGGGACCCGCUCUGAUACCAUGUCAAACAGCGACAAGCGUGGCUCGUGGAUCAUCCUUGUACCGAUAUUGUCCCAAAUUAACCACCUUUAAGGUGUUGGGUUUUAAUCACAAAAGGCCUCGGUACAAUUAGGAAUGAUCCACCCACUUAUAAGUUAUAUUUUAUUUGUCACUUUUCCAAUGUGGGAUCUCUCCUCUCCAACAGUUUCUACUUUCUAGGAUUCUAUUGAAA